GUCAUGGGGGUUUCCAGGGCACCCAACAAGUGUGCCUCUGUGGGUGUUCAGGGCAUUGCCUGGGCCUUUGGUGGUACCAUCUUUGCCCUUGUUUAUUGUACUGCUGGUGUCUCAGGUAUACUUCUCCCUCUCUCUCUCUCUCUCUCCUGUUUUUUCUUUUGUUUCUUUGGCUUGAUCUGUUGCUUGCUAUGCUUCCUUUUAUUUUGGUGUUUUUUUGUAAGUUUUUGGUUAAGUAAGUGCAGAUAUGUACAAGAAUAUUUGGGUUUUGAGUUGUUUCUUAAGUUGAUGUUUGGUUCCCAGGAAAAUGAGGGAAAGAAAAGUAAUAGUGGAGAAAGAAAGUUUCUUUUUCUUUUACUUUAGCAUUCUGAGAGAACCAACUGGAGGAUUGGAGGACUUUACUGUUUUACUUGGGUGUGUGAAAAUUGAUGAAAAAUAAAUAAACCACUUACCAAAAAGAGAAGAAAAAAGUGAGAACUUUAGAUUAUUGGGAUUAACUGUAAGGGUUAUUUUUCUUAAACUCUUGUAUAGUUAGCAAUUUUUACUGCUGAAAAUCAGAGUAGUAGAGUAAAAAAAUUUGGAUUUGUUAAAGAUAUCAACUUUGUUACUGAUCUUCUUGUUGGAUUUACUGGUCUUUAUAACUUUACCUCACAAAUCCAAAUUUCUGGAAAAAUGAAAAUCUGCAUCUUUAUUUUGCAGUAAAAAUUUGAGAGUGUAUAAAUUAAGCCAAAAAUGAAUUCAAAUCAUAUGUUCCUCACCAAUUUUCAUAUUUCGUCGUAACAGUAUAUUAACCUUUGAUAUAUUGAUAAUUUGGACAGGUGGUCACAUAAAUCCAGCUGUGACAUUUGGUCUCUUCCUAGCAAGGAAGCUCUCCCUGACCAGAUCCGUGUUCUACAUCAUCAUGCAAAGCCUUGGGGCAAUGGCUGGUGCCGGGGUGGUGAAGGGGUUCCAACCGAAGCAGUAUGAGUUGCUCGGCGGUGGAGCUAAUGCGGUGAACCAUGGCUAUACCAAGGGUGACGGCCUAGGCGCUGAGAUUGUUGGCACUUUUGUUCUUGUGUACACUGUUUUCUCUGCCACUGAUGCCAAGAGAAAUGCCAGAGACUCUCAUGUCCCUGUAAGUAUAUCUCACCUUUGAUGAUUGAGUACUUGUUUACACACUGCGCUCAUAACUAUUUUCUGUAAAUGUUGUAACUAUGCAUCUGUCUACUUGUAUCAUUGUAAUGCCUUGGUUACUAAGGCAUAGAUUUCAUUGAGUUUUGAGUAUAUUGUGAUUGACUGUUUAGCUAACCGCCGCUCAAUCGUUGUUGCUAUUUGCAAUAUCUUUGGUUAAAAGUUAAUGUUUUAUGGCUCUGGUACAUGAUUACAAACUUUUUCUUUGUGCCAAAAUUACCAUGCCGAUUAGUCAAUCUUCUCUGUGAUUUAGAACACUUUAUCUACAAUAAGCAUCACACGAAACUCUUUCAUGUAGUAGCAACUGGUAUCCCUAUUGCAGCUAUGUCGAUAAACAUGUUCUUAUAUACGAAUGGAAAUGCAGAUCUUGGCUCCACUCCCCAUUGGGUUUGCUGUAUUUUUGGUGCAUUUGGCAACCAUCCCCAUCACCGGAACUGGCAUCAACCCUGCUAGGAGUCUGGGAGCUGCCAUCAUCUACAACAAGGGCCAUGCAUGGGAUGAUCAUGUGAGUAAAACUAAAUUGUUUACAUCAUGAAGUUGCAUCGAUCUAAAUGCACGGGAGAGGAUACAUGUCUUACAUCUUCAAUGAUUUUGUUGUGUUUGCAGUGGAUCUUCUGGGUCGGACCAUUCAUCGGAGCUGCACUUGCUGCACUCUACCAUCAGAUAGUCAUCAGAGCCAUCCCAUUCAAGACCAGGGAUUGACAUGGUAAUCCCCGUCGGGCCUUGUUCUCCCCGUCGGGCCUUGUUCUCCCCGUCGGGCCUUGUUCUGUCUAAAUGCUGCGAUUGUGUUUAUUUCGUUCGUUGUGUUUUAAUGUCGAGAGUGGAGUAUUUGGGGUGCUAAUGUGCAUAUUAGUUAUUUAUCCUGUUACAUUAAUGGAAAACUUUAUUUAAUUUAUUUAUACUUUGUUAUUAUGUUAAUCCUUACUUUUGCAUUGGAAGGCUUUAGGCAUUUGUUACCAAGUAAUUUGGGACUCGAAAGCUUUAUUUAAUUCAUGACUUGCGUAGCCACAUUUAUAACAAGAGACAAUGCGUCUCCUCUGUCUCGUUUGGAAAUGGAUCUUCAUCAAAUCUCUACUUAAUCUUUUUCAUCAAAUAAUCUGGAUUUUUGGUUACAAAUAGGGGUUUAUUUUAAAAGUUAUAAUAACUUUAACCGUUUGAUCAAAUGAAUUAUUUGAUCCAUAAAUAAUUCAUUUCCGUCUCAUUUCUAAUUUGUUGACACAUGGUCCGUAAUUGGUAAUUUUAACACUGUUACUUUACAUAGAAUUUGAUUGGAAAAAAAAACCUGAAAAAUUAAUGGUACGUAGACGGAACGGGAUGAAACGAAACGAAGGUGUAAUUUUUGAAAAAGACAUGGGGUAUAUUUGUCUUAAAA
rnacentral:lncRNA from 1 species